rnacentral:tRNA from 1 species
GCCUUCGUGGUGUAACGGUAGCACACAAAUACUUCGGUGCGUAUUCGAGAGGUCCGGGUUCGAGUCCCGGCGAGGGUA